rnacentral:rRNA from 1 species
UUCUUUGGUCCAUUUUGAGGAAGUAAAAAUUCGUAACAAGGUUCCCGUAAGGUGAAACUGCGGAAGGAUCAUUAUGAAAUGAAACUUGGUGUGGUUGUUGCUGGCCCCUUUCGGGGGUAUGUGCACACCCGCCAUCCUCAUCUCUCCACCUGUGCACCCUCUUGUAGACUUGGAUUGACUUUCCGAGGCAACUCGGUCGGGAGGAUUGCUGGCACUAGCUGGCUUUCUUUGCAUUUCCAGGUCUAUGUUUUUCAUAUACCCCAUUGUAUGUAACAGAAUGUAAUAUUGGGCCCUUGUGCCUAUAAACCUUAUACAACUUUCAGCAACGGAUCUUUUGGCUCUCGCAUCGAUGAAGAACGCAGCGAAAUGCGAUAAGUAAUGUGAAUUGCAGAAUUCAGUGAAUCAUCGAAUCUUUGAACGCACCUUGCGCUCCUUGGUAUUCCGAGGAGCAUGCCUGUUUGAGUGUCAUUAAAUUCUCAACCUUUAUCAGCUUUUGCUGAUGAUGGCUUGGAUGUGGGGGUUUAUUUUGCUGGCUUCUUUACAGAUGGUCAGCUCCCCUUAAAUGCAUUAGCCGGUGCCCCACGUGGACUGUCUAUUGGUGUGAUAAUUAUUUACGCCGUGGACAUCUGCAAUCAUAUGGGUUUGCACUGCUUCCAAUCGUCUGUUCAAUCAGACAAUACAUGACAAUUUGACCUCAAAUCAGGUAGGACUACCCGCUGAACUUAAGCAUAUCAAUAAGCGGAGGAAAAGAAACUAACAAGGAUUCCCCUAGUAACUGCGAGGGAAGCGGGAAAAGCUCAAACUAAAAUUUGGCGGUCUCCGGCCGUC